UACGUAGGGGGCAAGCGUUGUCCGGAAUUAUUGGGCGUAAAGAGCUCGUAGGCGGUUUGUCGCGUCUGCUGUGAAAAUCCAGGGCUUAACCCUGGACCUGCAGUGGGUACGGGCAGACUAGAGUGCGGUAGGGGAGAUCGGAAUUCCUGGUGUAGCGGUGAAAUGCGCAGAUAUCAGGAGGAACACCGGUGGCGAAGGCGGAUCUCUGGGCCGUAACUGACGCUGAGGUGCGAAAGCGUGGGGAGCAAACAGG
rnacentral:rRNA from 1 species